rnacentral:rRNA from 1 species
GACAGAGGGUGCAACCGUUGUUCGGAAUUACUGGGCAUAAAGCGCGUGUAGGCGGCUUCGCAAGUCGGGUGUGAAAGCCCUGGGCUCAACCUAGGAAGUGCACUCGAAACUGCGAAGCUUGAGUCCUGGAGAGGAAGGCGGAAUUCUCGGUGUAGAGGUGAAAUUCGUAGAUAUCGAGAGGAACACCGGUGGCGAAGGCGGCCUUCUGGACAGUGACUGACGCUGAGACGCGAAAGCGUGGGGAGCAAACAGG